GACCUGGAACCAUGCGGUUUCAACGCCUGAACCGUGUCAGAACCGGAAGGAAGCAGCACUAAAGGAUGCUUGCGACAGGCGUGGCCUCCGGGUCUUC
rfam:Gloeomargarita lithophora Alchichica-D10 chromosome.